rnacentral:rRNA from 1 species
AUUGAACGCUGGCGGCAGGCUUAACACAUGCAAGUCGAACGAGUGGUGGACGGGUGAGUAAUGCUUGGGAAUUUGGCUUAUGGAGGGGGAUAACGACGGGAAACCGUCGCUAAUACCGCGUACUAUAGGAUGAGCCCAAGGGGGAUUAGGUAGUUGGUGGGGUGAUGGCCUACCAAGCCGACGAUGGCUAGCGGGUCUGAGAGGAUGACCGGCCACACCGGGACUGAGACGCGGCCCGGAAUCCUCCGGGAGGCAGCAGUGGGGAAUGUUGCGGAAUGGGGACAAGCUGACGCAGCCAUGCCGCGUGAAUGAAGAAGGCUUUCGGGUUGUAAAGGUCGUUCGGUGACGAAGCGUUAAUCACAGAAGAAGCACCGGCUAACUACGUGCCAGCAGCCGCGGUAAUUC